UCCGUUACAUCCAUUCAAAGAGU
rnacentral:snRNA from 1 species